UCCAGUGCCUGGGUGUUAACCUUUGUGGUAACUCUGGCCAAGCUAUGAAAUUUGAGUCUCUAGUCAAAGUUACUUACCUUUUGUGUGCUCCUUUCUAGGAAACGUCAAGUCCUGGUCUCUAGUUCCUGUGACUCUCUGUUCUGACUCCAAGUCCUCAGUUUGGAUCCUGCCACAGCCAAAGUGUUCAAGCCUCAGGAGAAACCCAUUUUGGAAUAAGCCCCAGCUGACAGCUCAAGACCUUUAUCCCCAGGCAAGCGAACCCUGCUCACCCUCCACCAACUAUUCUACUGAAUCCUCACCAGAGCAUUCCCCGCCUCCUUGGACAAACUCCCCGGUUCCAUAGCAGCAUAAAGUCACUCCUCCCAGACUCCACAUCAUUUUCCCACUCCAACCACCUCUUCAUCUAACGUGCUGUGCCUCCAGUCCCAACUCCAGUUCCACAUUACGUUCCUGAACAAUAAUACAACUUUAACUUUU